UGGGCCGCUAUAAAUUUUGUGACGUCCUGUAUAAUCCCGUCUCGUCCGAACAGCUGAUUGCUCGUUCCAGCGUAUUGAUAACGAAAAGUGAAAAGUAAAUCACGGGAUGACAAAACGCAAAGGAAAACUUUUAAUAGAAGUGAGAAGGGGCGUCUAGACGAUACACAACGUUAAUAUUUGAAAGAGAGGAAGCUAGUGCCAUCAAAACCACGUGGCUACGGUAAAAAUAUCGUAAGCGAUUUUCGUCAAAGAAGUACCUAGAUAGACUAGAACUAUUUUUAAAGUGGAUUACAAAAUUUGCGGAGAACGUGACAACAACCAGGCCCGCCGGCAAGGAGGGUCAGGGAGGGUCCGCCGACCCCCCCCCCCCCCACCCUGGAUAAUUACAGCUUAAGAUAAAACAAGGUUAUUGAUACAUUUGGUCAAGAUCGAAGGAGAUUAAAGUUUUUAUUUACCAAUUAAUCUUGUUUUGUAUUAUAAUAUUAUAAUUAUUAUAAUAUAACGUUUU
rnacentral:lncRNA from 1 species